AUGAUGUUUAUCUUACUCUGUCUUUGUCUUCUGUUUUUGACUGCAAUAACUCUUUGUGAUGAACAAGGACCAGAUUUCAUCAGAAUGGAGGUGAAAGAAGGGAGUGAUGUUACUCUACCCUGUUCCCUCAACAUCAACAUUGAGUCACAGCGGUUUGACUGGAAGAAAGAUGGUCAGAAGAGCGUCUUCCUGUAUGAUGCAGGCAUUCAUUACAAUAACGGCCUUCCAGGUCAAGAUGAACAGUUCAAAGGUCGCGUCUCGUUCUUCCAAUACGAACUGAGUCGUGGCAAUGCUGCCAUAACCAUCAGAAAUACAAGGUUGGCUGACAGAGGAAGCUACACCUGUGCCUUUCCACGUCAAAUAUUCAACAUUUCGCUUGUUGUUGGUAAGUGUUUCAUAAAACAUUAGUCCACUCAUUUAAUAACUGGUUAAAUAGUCCUGAGUUUAAUAGUCGGAAUACACAGCUAGCAGAGCAUCGUACACACAUUCUUGUGAGCGGACAAAAACUUGUGAAACAUCAUUUGUGUCAGUUUGUACAAUGAAAUGUAAUCAGCAGUAGUAGAUGAAAUCAGAGUGCACCCACUAACUAAUGUUGCAUGGAUGAUGAAACGUACCUACUGCAGCUUUAAGUGAAGCUCAGAGAACAUUAAAGGGAUGUAGCAGGUUCUCCAAAGCUAGCUGUGUGGAGCCUGCAUACAGUAUAAAAUACAGCUAUACAGUACAAUAUUCUAUCAUCUGUGUAUAAAUAUGCAUAGAUAUUCAUCAAAAAUGAUGAAUGAUUUUGCUAUAAAUAGUAAAAUACAAAUAGUAAGAACUAGGACCUACUGAACUUUGUCCAAUAAUAGUCAGCUCUAAGUCUUCAAUAUCUAAUACCAAGAAAUAUGCCAGAUAUAUUCCCAGCUAUCUGGGAAAGAUUACUGCUUAGAGAAUGUGACCCAGAGCAAAUGUUAGAGAGGUUUGACUGAUCUGUCUAUCCAAGUUCACGUAUUUGUUCUUAUAUUAUACAUUUGUCAGUGGUUCAAGUACGCUCUUCUUUCAGGGUAAAUUUUAGGUGCUCAAGUCUUAUUUUUCCAACAUUCUUAAAGAGACAAAUCUUUUUAGGGCUGGGCCCGAAUAUUUGACUAUUCGGGUAUUCUUUCGUUAGGAAGGUAUUCUUUUUUUAAAUUAUUUUAGGAUUUGGAUAUUCGCACACACACCCACACUUUCUCGCUGUCAGUUUCUUUCAAAGAAGUAAUUCCCAGCACUGAUACUACAUGACAUCUGUCGUGAGAAAAGAGAUGUAUUGUUUCUCAUGAAAUCCAGCCUCUGAGAGUAAACCUGCAACAGUGUAACUUGGUGUGAUACUGGUGAACUAUUACACAUUCUGGUUCACAGCCACAUAAUUGUUUCUAUCACUGCCUUUGGCCUUUUCUGAUCCAUCCACCAUUUCUCCUCUUUUCUUUUUCCUUU
rnacentral:lncRNA from 15 species